rnacentral:rRNA from 1 species
UUUGUGGUAGUGUAUUGGACUACCAUGGCAAUCACGGGUAACGGGGAAUUAGGGUUCGAUUCCGGAGAGAGAGCCUGAGAAACGGCUACCACAUCUAAGGAAGGCAGCAGGCGUAAAUUACCCAAUCCUGACUCAGGGAGGUAGUGACAAGAAAUAACAACCUGGGGCCUCACGGCUUCCGGGAUUGCAAUGAAAACAAUCUAAAAAACUUAUUGAGGAACAAUUGGAGGGCAAGUCUGAUGCCAGCAGCCGCGGUAAUUCCAGCUCCAAUAGCGUAUAUUAAAGUUGUUGCAGUUAAAAAGCUCGUAGUUGAAUUUCUGGUUGAGUAAAGCGCAAGCGGCACUUAACCGUCCGCCGAAAAGAGCAGCAAUGUUUGGAUCGGCAGUUUACUGUGAAAAAAUUAGAGUGUUCAAGGGCAGGGCUUUCGCCAUGAAUACACAAGCAUGGAAUAAUGGAAAAGGACAUGGUCCAUUUUAUUGGUUAUUGGAUCACGUAAUGAUAAAUAGGGACAGUUGGGGGCAUUAGUACUUAAUUGUCAGAGGUGAAAUUCCUGGAUUUAUUAAAGACUAACUUAUGCGAAAGCAUUUGCCAAGGAUGUUUUCAUUAAUCAAGAACGAAAGUUAGGGGAUCAAAGACGAUCAGAUACCGUC